rnacentral:sRNA from 1 species
AGGCUGCGCUGCGCGGAUAUAAACGGCGACUUUGUCAGUCUUGUUGUCGCUGCCUGCUACAUGCAGCUCCCAGCCAUGGAGUCGCUAAAGGUUGAGAGCGGUUGUUUACCCCUGACGGGUCGCCGCUGUUCUCCAGCAGCGAGACUUCCCCCUAACAUGGAGCGCCAGACAUCUCUCAAAAGGCUGGCAAUCCGCGUUCCCUCUGAGUGCAGCUCCCUACUCCCUAGACUUCUCUCGUGUUGCCCGAACUUGGCAACUUUGGCCCUUAGUAUACAGUGUCGCAGCAAUACCCGCUUAGAGCAAAUGCUGUUAUCGAAUGCUCUUAACCUCUGCCAAGAGACAAUUACUACACUCGAACUCGAUUGCGAAUACGGCGAAUGUAGGGGAUAUUUUGAAUGUUGUCCCAUUGUCUUCCGCCCUCUAAAGUGUUUACGGACUCUGAAGAUAGAGGUGUUGUUUCUUUUCACUGACGAGGAGAGAGGCGAUCCAACUUUGCGGAACGACAUUCAUCAAUGGCUGCCUACAUCGUUAGAAUAUUUGGAGCUUCUCUUCCAGCAUACCUGUCGGGCCUUUGAAACUACGGCUAGAUCUGCCGCUGAUGGCACUUCGCCCGUCACCCCUCCUGCUACUUACAAGCCUGAAUAUGUCAACUGGCUUCUACAAAUUGGAAUGAACAAAGAAGCCCGCCUGCCCAAACUGGUGCACGUUUGUGUGCGAGAGGGCAAUAAUGGCUCGCCCAGUCCGUACAAGGUUUCCAAGUUGCCAGC